AGAGUUUGAUCCUGGCUCAGGAUGAACGCUGGCGGCGUGCUUAACACAUGCAAGUCGAACGGACUUAUAUUGAAACCUAGUGAAAUAUAAGUUAGUGGCGGACGGGUGAGUAACGCGUGGAUAACCUGCCGUAUACAGGGGGAUAACACUUAGAAAUAGGUGCUAAUACCGCAUAAGCGCACAGCUUCGCAUGAAGCAGUGUGAAAAACUGAGGUGGUAUACGAUGGUUCCGCGUCUGAUUAGCUAGUUGGUGGGGUAAUGGCCUACCAAGGCGACGAUCAGUAGCCGGCCUGAGAGGGUGAACGGCCACAUUGGGACUGAGACACGGCCCAAACUCCUACGGGAGGCAGCAGUGGGGAAUAUUGCACAAUGGGGGAAACCCUGAUGCAGCGACGCCGCGUGAGUGAAGAAGUAUUUCGGUAUGUAAAGCUCUAUCAGCAGGGAAGAAAAACCGACCAUAGGGUCGCUAGACGGUACCUGAUUAAGAAGCCCCGGCUAACUACGUGCCAGCAGCCGCGGU
rnacentral:rRNA from 1 species